rnacentral:rRNA from 1 species
AGCUUGUAGGCGGUUUGUCGCGUCUGCCGUGAAAAUUCGAGGCUCAACCUCGAACUUGCGGUGGGUACGGGCAGACUAGAGUGUGGUAGGGGAGACUGGAAUUCCUGGUGUAGCGGUGAAAUGCGCAGAUAUCAGGAGGAACACCGAUGGCGAAGGCAGGUCUCUGGGCCACUACUGACGCUGAGAAGCGAAAGCAUGGGGAGCGAACAGGAUUAGAUACCCUGGUAGUCCAUGCCGUAAACGUUGGGAACUAGGUGUGGGUCUCAUUCCACGAGAUCCGUGCCGCAGCUAACGCAUUAAGUUCCCCGCCUGGGGAGUACGGCCGCAAGGCUAAAACUCAAAGGAAUUGACGGGGGCCCGCACAAGCGGCGGAGCAUGCGGAUUAAUUCGAUGCAACGCGAAGAACCUUACCAAGGCUUGACAUAUGCGAGAACGCGGCAGAGAUGUCGUUCUCUUUGGACACUCGCAUACAGGUGGUGCAUGGUUGUCGUCAGCUCGUGUCGUGAGAUGUUGGGUUAAGUCCCGCAACGAGCGCAACCCUCGUUCUAUGUUGCCAGCACGUGAUGGUGGGGACUCAUAGGAGACUGCCGGGGUCAACUCGGAGGAAGGUGGGGAUGACGUCAAAUCAUCAUGCCCCUUAUGUCUUGGGCUUCACGCAUGCUACAAUGGCCGGUACAAAGGGCUGCGAUACCGCGAGGUGGAGCGAAUCCCAAAAAACCGGUCUCAGUUCGGAUUGGGGUCUGCAACUCGACCCCAUGAAGUCGGAGUCGCUAGUAAUCGCAGAUCAGCAACGCUGCGGUGAAUACGUUCCCGGGCCUUGUACACACCGCCCGUCAAGUCACGAAAGUCGGUAACACCCGAAGCCGGUGGCCCAACUCUUUGAGAGGGAGCCGUCGAAGGUGGGACUGGCGAUUGGGACUAAGUCGUAACAAGGUAGCCGUACCGGAAGGUGCGGCUGGAUCACCUCCUUUCUA